rnacentral:lncRNA from 10 species
AUUUGAAUCAGCUGAUUGAAUAAAGCAGACACCCCUCCCCAAUGUGGGUGGCCCUCAUCCAAUCCAUUGAAGGCUUGAAUAGAACAAAAAAGGCUGAGUAAGAGAAAAUCUGCUCUUUCUGCCUGUCUUCAAGCCGGGACAUCAGUCUUCUCCUGCCUUUGGACUCUGGACUUACACCAUCAGCUCUACUGGUUCUCAGGCCUUUGGACUCGAACUGGAACUACACCAUUGGCUCUCCUGGGUCUCCAGCUUGGCAACUGCAGGUCUUGGGACUUGUCAGCCUCCACAAUGAUGUGUGUUUCGGCAGAUGAGACCACAGGCGCUGGCCAUGCUGUACUUCCACCUGUGCCCUGGCUGCACCAUGUGGCAUGAUGAGGCUGCGGAGGGCGUUUUCCGGCAGCUGGGUGUGAGGCCCCGAUGCUGGAAUUCUACAGCCAUGAUGACCCCUCAACAAUGCUGCCUGGCUGCAGGAGUUGCUGAGUGGCUUGCAGUAGGUGAAGCCUGGGAGACCUCCUGACAUGGGGCCCACCUGCACCAGCACACCCCCACCCCACCCCCAGUACCUCAACACCCUCAAACCUUCCUGGGGAGGCAGGGCCUGGUGCCAUACCCCCCAGCCCAACUCUGAUGGGGCUCCAGCCACCCAAUGGACAGGGCAUACAGACAGGAUAGUGGAGGCGUUGAGACCUGCUUGAUUUAUUCCAAGUAUUUAAUACACAAUGACG